AGUACAUCACAGACAAUCUCUGACUUCUUCAUCAGGUAAGGAUCCUAACUCCUACACGUACACUUUUACUACCGACCUAUGCAAAUCGCAAUGCUUGAUGACAUGGGGAAUUUUUUGCUAUUUAAUUAUCAGCGUUUGCUGAAUUUUUUUUUCUGAACCACAAAAUGUUUUUUACAGGGAGCUAUUUAGAGGAAUGACUGUAAUAGCUACUUUCGUGAACCAGAGGUGGAAACUCCAAGAAAGUCAUACUUGAGUCAUGAAACCAUAGCUCGAAAUGUUCAAAUGUUAAGUUGAACUAAUCGGUCAGUAUUCACUAUUUAUCUAUACUUUACAAGGUAACUUGCCUAUUGAGUCAAGCAAUAUAUUGCCACAGCAGUCAUUCUUGUUUUUUUUUUUUUUUUAAACCACAAAAUCAUACUGAUAGUUUUUUCGAGGCAUUGGUGCUAAAAUUUUAAAAUUGUUAAACACUUUUAUCGAUUAUUGUCUUUUUAUGAUUUACUACAAUUAAGACUACAUGUUGAUGUCUGCAAAUGUAAGAGUUUUAGAAUAUAUAUUAGACAUGCAGCUGCAGCCUUUCUAUGCAGAUAUUCCAAUGCUAAAUUCUUUUAUUAUGAAAAAAACAACAACACACGUCUGCAAAUACAAGCUCCCCACUGAAUCUUACUAAAAAAAACAACAUAGAAACAUAGAAUGUGACGGCAGAUAAGAACCAUUUGGCCCAUCUAGUCUGCUCAAUACUCUCAUUAGUCCCUCCUGGCCUUAUCUUAUAGUUAAGAUAGGCUUAUGCCUAUCCCACGCAUGCUUAAACUCUUUCACUGUGUUAACCUCUACCACUUCAGCUGGAUGGCUAUUCCAUGCAUCCACUACCCUCUCAGUACUGUAUCAGGAAAGAAACUCUGUUUGCAAAUCUCACUCUUAGUGAACACUCAUGCUAAAAGUUUAACCCUGUUCUACCAAUAUUUAUUUUCAUCAUUCAGCAAUCAGGAACUCAUUCUUUAUCUAAGAUCCCAUUGUACAGCACUAUGGAAUUUACUGGCGCUAUAUAAAUAAUAAAAUAAUAAUAAUAUAAGAAAUUUAUAAUAACCACGUAUUAAUAUGCCACUUAUAAAUUAUUAUAUCCUUUUAUAGUUCAAUAUUGACAUAAAAUGCAAGGAUAUCACAUGCAUUAAAUUUGAUUCGACACACAUUUCUUUGGACACAUUUCCUUAAUUAUUAACUGUUGUUUUUCUCACUGGUAUUUUAAUAAAUAUUAAUAUCUUCAAAACUACAAUUACAGGUUCAGACACUCUGAUGACAGGGUACUGGAGACAAGAGAUUUAAUCAUUUGGCCCAUACGUAUCUACCUGAGAGAAAAAAAAUAUAUGUUUUAUACUGGAGAUGUUUCUAUUACGGAGCUGAUUUAUCAAGCAAAAGACAGUUUUGUUUGAGACACUUUGAUAAAUGAAUGCUUUAGUAUAACAGAAAGUCUGAAGAGAUUUUCUGAUGGUCUGGCAAAAACCUGGCUUGUUGAUUAACGUUUCUGUCAAACAUAAUUCUAUUUUUACAUCGCAAAUGUUAUUUGUACAAGGUACAGCAGAAAGUAAACAAUGAUAGACCUUCCACUUUCAACAUGCAUCAACAAACUGAUAUGUAAAAUAAUUAGACUAGACAGAAAGGCAAUCGGGAGCUCGAAGGAAGGCCAUGGAUCAAAUUUUACAUCUGGUAGGAAAAUAUCUGUUAGAUCGACAAAGCAUUGUUUGUUUACUGCGAGAGAAGCACACCAGAAAGUUGCCAUGUUGGGUAGUCAUUAGCACUAACUUUAUUGGAUCUUUGCACUAGAUUCUUGAACCAUUUUAACAUUUUGUCUAUUGCUUUAGUUGCCAAUCUUGGCCAUUCUAGAUGCUGUGCUGUACAUCUCCCAUGAUGCCCUCAGAGUGGUGGAAAAUUUAAAAAAGGGAGGAAUCACCAAUGGAAUGUUCCUACUGGUUUCCAUAGUGAUUGCCCCCCUUCAGUAAUUUAGACCACUUUUUAUAGCAGAACAAAAAUAUGAGUAUGUUGUGAUUGGAAGGGCUGUAGUCUAUGUUACAUAUUAGCUGGACGGAAGAUUAAUUAUGCAUACUGAAAGUCAGUCUAUAUUUAAAGGAACCUCAUGCUUGCGUGUCCCUUUGUUCUGAUCUUAAAGUCUUAAUUAUUUCUACUCUUACGGGAACUGCAUUGAUCUUUGUAAGACCUGACAGGGUUCUUCUCUAUACUCCAAACUGUAGUGAAUUGAAAUCUGUAGGCUACAAUUUCAGCCAUAAUCGCCUAUAUGGAAAAAUCUAUAAUUCUGCUAUAACAACAACUUAGUUAGAAGUCAAAUGUUAGUAAAUAACGCAAUCAGGGCUAUUUACUAAAGUCAGGAAGUCAAAGUGAAUUUCAAAGUUAAAGUCACACUAGCUGAAUUGGUUCAGCUAACCCUGAAUGAUUAAAGGCUUUUAAACUCACCAUUAAUUUUUCCCAAAGUCUACUUUUUAGUUUCUUAAAUUUUUUUUUUCUUUAAAACGGCAUCAUUGAUGAUUAGCACCAUACAUUUAGAUACAGUUUUGCACACAGUGAUCCUAAAGGAUUUGUAUCAAAUCUUAACUGACUCUUCUAUUUUUACAGAAAAGCUUUUUAUAACUUUUUAAAGAAACUUAAAAUGAAAGUAAAGAGGCCCUCUUCUUAUCUUAACUUCUGAUGGCACAUAGUUUAUUGUCUGUUGUUUAGGGUUACCUUUAGGAGUAGUUUUAUAUAUCCAUAGUUUAACCAGUGCUCUGAUUAUAAUGGAUUGUGAUACAUUGGUAGAAUAUCAGAUGGUAGAAACAGCAGUAAUGAAGAAAGGAACAUUUAUUUGUCUCUACCUUAUCCUCAAAUAUUUAUAUGGAAUAUUUACAAGCAUAGUUAUUGCAUAUAGAAAUAUAAUUGGAAAAUAAUCUAUAACGGGAUUAAAUACUAAGUGUAUGUCUUAUUUAACUUUUAGCUUCCCUUUAUGAGACCUGGUCUAAUGUAAAACAUAUACCUGUGGAAACAAGAUAAGUAGACACAAGGUUUCUACAAAUAUUUCCUGUUUAACCCCUUAAGGACAUAUGACAUGUGUGACAUGUCAUGAUUCCCUUUUAUUCCAGAAGUUUGGUCCUUAAAGGGUUAAGAUUCUAAGCCAAACAAAAACGGUCACAUGACUUCACUGUUACAGCACACCCAUGUCAUUGUAUUGUCUCAGUGUUAAUGUGGCUAAUAUCAGAGUGUAUAUGUUAUUUAAAAGGGAUAACGUUUUCUCUGUACUUAAUAAUGCCGUAGAGGCAGAAAAUAUAUCCUUUAAUUAAAUCGGGCCUGUGUUCCAUUUCCUAAAUUGCACAUUUGCACAAAGAUCCCAGUGAUGAAAAAUAAAUAAAUAGAAAUAUAUAUAUAUAUAUAUAAACCACAUACCUGAGCAGGCUUCCUCUUAAGCAUGAACGAAGAAGGUACGCACACAUGUUCAGUACAAGGAUACCACUAACUUCCUUUGUUUCCUGCCACAUCUGAACGAUCUACUUAGGGCUUCACUGGGGUCUUUCAAUUUAACAGAAAGUUUUGAUAAAAACAAACCAUCCAAAAUGAGUUGUAACACCCAGUCCUGUUGACUCCUGUGAGACGUUUUGAGAAGCCAGCAGCAAAGUGACGAAGACCCUUUUAUAAAUCUGAUGAAGGUGACUCAUACUCCAGCUUAUACUUUCUGUAAUUUCCGCCCUAUCUCAAAAAUUUUUUUCUCGUAAGCAAUACAAACUUAAACUUACUUUCAUUUUGCAUAACUCAUAAUAAAAAAAUUCCAAGUUGGGAUAUUUAAAUCAUUUGUUUGUUGCUUUUAACAUAUUUUCCCCAAUUAUUAUGGGUAUUUUUUAGGGUUUUUUUCAUUUAUAUGCCAGGAAUCCCACUGAUUGUGUGAAUAAGUAAUAGAGUACUCUAGGGGGAAUUAGAAUUGAUUUCGAUUAGAAAAUCCCCUUAUAACAACUAAUAUCCAUGUUUUGUUUUUUGUAGGCAUUCACUGUAUAUGGGGAUAUCCUAGAUGUUUUAAUG
rnacentral:lncRNA from 1 species